AUGAGUUUUCCUGUCCAGUUCCUGGGGAUGCUAAUGCUCUGGUUUCCUGGUUCCAGUACUAAUGCUAUGAGGACCCAGACUUCACUUUCCUUGCUGGUCACUUUAGUAGAUGAAGCCUCUAUUUCUUACAGGUCUAUUCAAAGUCUCCUAGAUAUGGAAGGGUACGCCUAUUUGAACUGGUACCUGCAGAGGCCUGGACAGUCUCCGCAGCUCCUCAUCUAUGGGGUAUAUCUCCAAGAAUAUGGAGUCUCUGAUAGGUUUAGUGGCAGUGUAUCAGAGACAGAUUUCACACUGAAAAUCAGCAGUGUGGAAGCUGGUGAUGUUGGAAUAUAUUACUGUUUUCAAUCUACACAUGUUCUUUCCAGAGUGGUGGUGGUGGUAAUGAUGGUUGUGGUUGUGCAGGCAGUGGCAAUGAAGGCAGAGGCUGCAGCAGUGGUAGUGGAGGAGUUGGGAAAAGUGGAGGGAGAAGAAAUUGCAGUUGCAAUGUAA